rnacentral:sRNA from 1 species
AAAAUAAAACUAAAAUUAAAAUGAAAAACGUGGGAGGGUAUGAGUGAACAUAUUUAUUGAGUUAGUGGCAUUAGUGAUAAAAUUCCCAAUGAUGCUUGACUGCAUUCUAACAUAAGACGGCCCGUGUCAGAUUUAAUAGUUUUCACAUCAAACAAUCCCUCCUUUGCAGCUCUAUUAAUCAAAUCCCAUAUU